UGGGGAAUAUUGCACAAUGGGGGAAACCCUGAUGCAGCGACGCCGCGUGAGCGAAGAAGUAUUUCGGUAUGUAAAGCUCUAUCAGCAGGGAAGAAAAUGACGGUACCUGACUAAGAAGCCCCGGCUAACUACGUGCCAGCAGCCGCGGUAAUACGUAGGGGGCAAGCGUUAUCCGGAUUUACUGGGUGUAAAGGGAGCGUAGACGGACUGGCAAGUCUGAUGUGAAAACCCGGGGCUCAACCCCGGGACUGCAUUGGAAACUGUCAGUCUAGAGUGUCGGAGGGGUAAGUGGAAUUCCUAGUGUAGCGGUGAAAUGCGUAGAUAUUAGGAGGAACACCACGUGGCGGAAGGCAGGCCUGCCUGGAGCUGUAACUAGACGUUGAGGCUCGAAAGCGUGGGGAGCAAACAGGAUUAGAUACC
rnacentral:rRNA from 1 species